GAAGGCCUAACACAUGCAAGUCGAACGGUAACAGGAAGAAGCUUGCUCUUUCGCUGACGAGUGGCGGACGGGUGAGUAAUGUCUGGGAAACUGCCUGAUGGAGGGGGAUAACUACUGGAAACGGUAGCUAAUACCGCAUAACGUCGCAAGACCAAAGAGGGGGACCUUCGGGCCUCUUGCCAUCGGAUGUGCCCAGAUGGGAUUAGCUAGUAGGUGGGGUAACGGCUCACCUAGGCGACGAUCCCUAGCUGGUCUGAGAGGAUGACCAGCCACACUGGAACUGAGACACGGUCCAGACUCCUACGGGAGGCAGCAGUGGGGAAUAUUGCACAAUGGGCGCAAGCCUGAUGCAGCCAUGCCGCGUGUAUGAAGAAGGCCUUCGGGUUGUAAAGUACUUUCAGCGGGGAGGAAGGGAGUAAAGUUAAUACCUUUGCUCAUUGACGUUACCCGCAGAAGAAGCACCGGCUAACUCCGUGCCAGCAGCCGCGG
rnacentral:rRNA from 1 species